CGAGGCAGAGGAGAAGAGAGACUGUUCUAUCUCCCUGUUUAUAGACAUUCAGGUAGACCUAAAAUCUAAGAUUCUUUUCCAUUAUGGGUUAUUACAAGAUAUUGAAUAUAGUUCCCUGUGCUAUACAAUUCAUGCAUCUACCACCACAGUCAAGAUACAGAACAGUUCCACACCACAAGGAUUCCUCAAGUUGCCUUUUUAUAACCACACCCACCUCCCUCUGAUCUCCCCUCAUUACAUAAAAAAAAAAGUCUGUAUUUUGUAU